rnacentral:sRNA from 1 species
CCUGCUGAACUGCUGGCGCCUUAUACCGGCGACAUCGCGGCGGAAGGGAUCAGCAAAGCCCUGCGCGGCGGGGCAAAAUUUCUCCGUCACGGGAUCCAACGUCAGCAACGUUAUGUUGCCGAAGCCAUUACGGAAGAGUGGCGAAUGGCACCCGGACCGUUAGAGGUUGCCUGGUUCGCGGAAGAAACGGCAGCGGUGGAACGCGCUGUCGAUGCGCUGACCCGGCGGCUGGAAAAACUGGAGGCUAAAUGA